rnacentral:ncRNA from 1 species
CUGUUCUGUUGGUUUUUGGAAUACAGGAUAAUGAUUAAGAGGGACAGACGGGGGCAUUCGUAUUGCGGCGCUAGAGGUGAAAUUCUUGGACCGUCGCAAGACGAACUACUGCGAAAGCAUUUGCCAAGAAUGUUUUCAUUGAUCAAGAACGAAAGUUAGAGGUUCGAAGGCGAUCAGAUACCGCCCUAGUUCUAACCAUAAACGAUGCCAACCAGCGAUCCGCCUGAGUUACUCAAAUGACUCGGCGGGCAGCUUCCGGGAAACCAAAGUAUUUGGGUUCCGGGGGAAGUAUGGUUGCAAAGCUGAAACUUAAAGGAAUUGACGGAAGGGCACCACCAGGAGUGGAGCCUGCGGCUUAAUUUGACUCAACACGGGAAAACUUACCCGGCCCGGACACUGGGAGGAUUGACAGAUUGAGAGCUCUUUCUUGAUUCGGUGGAUGGUGGUGCAUGGCCGUUCUUAGUUGGUGGAGCGAUUUGUCUGGUUAAUUCCGAUAACGAACGAGACUCUAGCCUAUUAAAUAGGUGCGUGGUUCUCUGCACCUUGCACCCUUCUUAGAGGGACAAGCGGCUCCUAGCCGCACGAAACAGAGCAAUAACAGGUCUGUGAUGCCCUUAGAUGUCCGGGGCCGCACGCGCGCUACACUGAAGGAAGCAGCGUGUUUUUAUCCCUGUCUGUAAAGACUGGGUAACCCGUGGAACCUCCUUCGUGAUUGGGAUAGGGGCUUGCAAUUGUUCCCCUUGAACGAGGAAUUCCCAGUAAGCGCGAGUCAUAAGCUCGCGUUGAUUACGUCCCUGCCCUUUGUACACACCGCCCGUCGCUACUACCGAUUGAAUGAUUUAGUGAGGUCUUCGGACCGAUACCCGGAGCGGCCUUUCGGUUGCGCCGGUGUGUUGGAAAGAUGACCAAACUUGAUCAUUUAGAGGAAGUAAAAGUCGUAACAAGGUUUCCGUAGUGAACCUGCGGAAGGAUCAUUA